UGUGUAGGCGGUUGUUUAAGUUUGGUGUGAAAUCUCCCGGCUCAACUGGGAGGGUGCGCCGAAUACUGAAUGACUCGAGUGCGGGAGAGGAGAGUGGAAUUCCUGGUGUAGCGGUGAAAUGCGUAGAUAUCAGGAGGAACACCGGUGGUGUAGACGGCUCUCCGGACCGUAACUGACGCUGAGACACGAAAGCGUGGGUAGCAAACA
rnacentral:rRNA from 1 species